CGUGUCGUGAGAUGUUGGGUUAAGUCCCGCAACGAGCGCAACCCUUGAUCUUAGUUGCCAGCAUUCAGUUGGGCACUNUAAGGUGACUGCCGGUGACAAACCGGAGGAAGGUGGGGAUGACGUCAAAUCAUCAUGCCCCUUAUGACCUGGGCUACACACGUGCUACAAUGGACAGAACAAAGGGCAGCGAAACCGCGAGGUUAAGCCAAUCCCACAAAUCUGUUCUCAGUUCGGAUCGCAGUNUGCAACUCGACUGCGUGAAGCUGGAAUCGCUAGUAAUCGCGGAUCAGCAUGCCGCGGUGAAUACGUUCCCGGGCCUUGUACACACCGCCCGUCACACCACGAGAGUUUGUAACACCCGAAGUCGGUGAGGUAACCUUUAUGGAGCCAGCCGCCGAAGGUGGGACAGAUGAUUGGGGU
rnacentral:rRNA from 1 species